rnacentral:tRNA from 1 species
CAGUUAGCUCAGUUGGUUAGAGUGUGGCACUGAUAAUGCCACGGUCACAGGUUUGAUCCCUGUAUGGAUGG